CCCUUCGAUGUUCUGGGCUGCACGCGCGCUACAAUGACAAUGUCAGCGAGUUUUAAAUUUAUAUUCGCUUGUGCGAAAGCACUGGCAAAUCUUGUGAAACGUUGUCGUACUAUGGAUUGCUGAUUGCAAUUAUUCGGCAUGAAACAGGAAUACCUAGUAGGUGUGGUUCAUCAGACUGCGCCGAUUACGUCCCUGCCCUUUGUACACACCGCCCGUCGCUCCUACCGAUUGGGUGUGCUGGUGAAAUGUUCGGAUCGGCCGUUUGUCGCGGUUUCCGCGUCAUGUGGCUGAGAAGUUCAUUAAACCCUCCCACCUAGAGGAAGGAGAAGUCGUAACA
rnacentral:rRNA from 1 species